AGUAAAUAGACUGCUAAUACCGGAGUGAGUGUCCUUUCGGGACCCAAAAGAUUUUAUCGGCAAAGGAUGAGCCCGCGUAGGAUUAGGUAGUUGGUGGGGUAAAAGGCCUACCAAGCCGACGAUCCUUAGCUGGUCUGAGAGGAUGAUCAGCCACACUGGGACUGAGACACGGCCCAGACUCCUACGGGAGGCAGCAGUGGGGAAUAUUGGACAAUGGGCGCAAGCCUGAUCCAGCAAUGCCGCGUGAGUGAUGAAGGCCUUCGGGUCGUAAAGCUCUUUUACCAGGGAUGAUAAUGACAGUACCUGGAGAAUAAGCUCCGGCUAACUCCGUG
rnacentral:rRNA from 1 species